rnacentral:tRNA from 1 species
UUUUAAAAGUGGCCGAAUAUAGGUGUUAGUCUCUUAAAUUAAUCAUGAAAAUU